rnacentral:rRNA from 1 species
UACGUAGGGGGCAAGCGUUGUCCGGAUUUAUUGGGCGUAAAGAGCGUGUAGGCGGCCAGGGAGGUCCGUUGUGAAAACUCGAGGCUCAACCUCGAGACGCCGGUGGAAACCGUGUGGCUAGAGUCCGGAAGAGGAGAGUGGAAUUCCCGGUGUAGCGGUGAAAUGCGCAGAUAUCGGGAAGAACACCCGUGGCGAAGGCGGCUCUCUGGGACGGUACUGACGCUGAGACGCGAAAGCGUGGGGAGCGAACAGG